GCCAGUUUGGUGUAGUGGUUUGAGCGUCGGACUAUGACUCUGGAGACCAGGGUUCAAAUCCUUGCUCAGCCA
rnacentral:tRNA from 1 species